UGGCCGGCGAAUCGUGGUUCUCUUUUCCUCUUUGGCUGUCUGAAGAUAGAUCGCCAUCAUGAACGACACUGUAACUAUCCGCACUAGAAAGUUCAUGACCAACCGACUCCUUCAGAGGAAACAAAUGGUCAUUGAUGUCCUUCACCCCGGGAAGGCAACAGUGCCUAAGACAGAAAUUCGGGAAAAACUAGCCAAAAUGUACAAGACCACACCGGAUGUCAUCUUUGUAUUUGGAUUCAGAACUCAUUUUGGUGGUGGCAAGACAACUGGCUUUGGCAUGAUUUAUGAUUCCCUGGAUUAUGCAAAGAAAAAUGAACCCAAACAUAGACUUGCAAGACAUGGCCUGUAUGAGAAGAAAAAGACCUCAAGAAAGCAACGAAAGGAACGCAAGAACAGAAUGAAGAAAGUCAGGGGGACUGCAAAGGCCAAUGUUGGUGCUGGCAAAAAGAAAUGAAGUGUCUAGCAGUGAGCUGGAGAUUGGAUCACAGCCGAAGGAGUAAAGGUGCUGCAAUGAUGUUAGCUGUGGCCACUGUGGAUUUUUCAC
rnacentral:sRNA from 1 species